rnacentral:rRNA from 1 species
UACAGAGGAUGCAAGCGUUAUCCGGAAUCACUGGGCGUAAAGCGUCUGUAGGUGGUUUAAAAAGUCCACUGUUAAAAAUUGAAGCUUAACUUCAAAGAUGCCGUGGAAACUUUUAAACUUGAGUAUGAUAGGGGUAGAGGGAAUUUCCAGUGGAGCGGUGAAAUGCGUAGAUAUUGGAAAGACCACCAAUGGCGAAGGCACUCUACUGGGCCAUUACUGACACUGAGAGACGAAAGCUAGGGGAGCAAAUGGG